GACGAACGCUGGCGGCGUGCUUAACACAUGCAAGUCGAACGGAAAGGCCCUGCUUUUGUGGGGUGCUCGAGUGGCGAACGGGUGAGUAACACGUGAGUAACCUGCCCUUGACUUUGGGAUAACUUCAGGAAACUGGGGCUAAUACCGGAUAGGAGCUCCUGCUGCAUGGUGGGGGUUGGAAAGUUUCGGCGGUUGGGGAUGGACUCGCGGCUUAUCAGCUUGUUGGUGGGGUAGUGGCUUACCAAGGCUUUGACGGGUAGCCGGCCUGAGAGGGUGACCGGCCACAUUGGGACUGAGAUACGGCCCAGACUCCUACGGGAGGCAGCAGUGGGAAAUAUUGCACAAUGGGCGGAAGCCUGAUGCAGCAACGCCGCGUGCGGGAUGACGGCCUUCGGGUUGUAAACCGCUUUCGCCGGUGACGAAGCGUGAGUGACGGUAAUGGGUAAAGAAGCACCGGCUAACUACGUG
rnacentral:rRNA from 1 species